AUUGAACGCUGGCGGCAGGCCUAACACAUGCAAGUCGAACGAGUGGCGGACGGGUGAGUAAUGUAUGGGAAACUGCCCGCUGGAGGGGGAUAACUACUGGAAACGGUAGCUAAUACCGCAUACCAUCGGAUGUGCCCAGAUGGGAAUAGCUAGUAGGUGGGGUAAUGGCUCACCUAGGCGAUGAUCCCUAGCUGGUCUGAGAGGAUGACCAGCCACACUUGAACUGAGACACGGGCCAGACUCCUACGGGAGGCAGCAGUGGGGAAUAUUGCACAAUGGUCGCAAGUCGGAUGCAGCCAUGCCGCGUGUAUGAAGAAGGCCUUCGGGUUUUAAAGUACUUUCAGCGUGGAGGCGUUACCCGCAGAAGAAGCACCGGCUAACUCCGUGCCAGCAGCCGCGGUAAUUC
rnacentral:rRNA from 1 species